UACGUAGGGACCAAGCGUUGUUCGGAUUUACUGGGCGUAAAGGGCGCGUAGGCGGCAUGACAAGUCACUUGUGAAAUCUCUGGGCUUAACCCAGAACGGCCAAGUGAUACUGUCGCGCUAGAGUGCGGAAGGGGCAAUCGGAAUUCUUGGUGUAGCGGUGAAAUGCGUAGAUAUCGUAAGGAAGACCAGUGGCGAAGGCGGGUCUCUGGACAGUUCCUGACGCUGAGGCACGAAGGUCAGGGGAGCAAACGGG
rnacentral:rRNA from 1 species